rnacentral:rRNA from 1 species
AACGAACGCUGGCGGCAUGCCUAACACAUGCAAGUCGAACGAGAUCCUUCGGGGUCUAGUGGCGCACGGGUGCGUAACGCGUGGGAAUCUGCCCUUAGGUACGGAAUAACUCAGGGAAACUUGUGCUAAUACCGUAUGAUGUCUUCGGACCAAAGAUUUAUCGCCUAGGGAUGAGCCCGCGUUGGAUUAGCUAGUUGGUGGGGUAAAGGCCUACCAAGGCGACGAUCCAUAGCUGGUCUGAGAGGAUGAUCAGCCACACUGGGACUGAGACACGGCCCAGACUCCUACGGGAGGCAGCAGUGGGGAAUAUUGGACAAUGGGCGAAAGCCUGAUCCAGCAAUGCCGCGUGAGUGAAGAAGGCCUUAGGGUUGUAAAGCUCUUUUACCCGGGAAGAUAAUGACUGUACCGGGAGAAUAAGCCCCGGCUAACUCCGUGCCAGCCGCCGCCGU